ensembl:lncRNA
AGUCAUUGCUACAAAGUAGGACAUGUAAUAAACAACGGGAAGCACAGAUAAUGAUAAAAUGUCAGUCAACUGAAGCCUCUAUAUACAUCCAAAAACAUUUUAUUUAAAGGUGUAAUGUUGAAAGCUUUCCCUCUGUUAUUGGCAAUCAUGAAAGGUUGUCCACUGUCAUCACCCCUGUUCAGUAGUAUACUGGAGGUCUUAACUAAUGCAGAAAAAGAUUCUACACCCAUAUUUUAUAUCUAACACAAAAAUUAUAAAGAUUUAAAGGAGAGAGGUAACACUCCUGGUAUUUAUGGAUGAUAUAAUUUGUUAUAUAGAAAAUCCAAAAGAAUCUACAGUUAAAUUAUUAAAAUUAAUGUCAGUUGCUCAAAAUUGCUGGAUUAAAGACCAGUAUAUUCAAAUAAAUUUUAUUUCUAUGUACCAGUAGUGAAAAGUGAAUUUUUAAAAAUUUUACUUUAAAAGCAUCAAAAAUAGCAAACAUUAAGGGUUAAGGCUAACAACGUAUAUGCAAGGCCCUUAUAUAGAGAUUCUAAAAUGUUGCUCAGAGAAAGUAAAGAAUACUUAAAUAAAUGGCUAAAGACACCAAGUUCAUGCAUUAAAAGAUUAAGUACCAUAACAUGCCAAUUCUCCACAACUUGAUCUGUAGAUUCAAGGAAUCCUAACCACAAUUUUAACUGUUUAGUGGAAUUUGGCAAGUGGAUUCUGCAAUUUAUAUGAAUAUUCAAAAGGUGAGGAAUAUUCAAGACACCCUUGAAAAAGAAUAAGGCAUCAGGACUUUCUCUAGGUUUUCAAAUAUUAUGAUAAAACUACAGGAAUUAAAACAUUAUGGUUUUGAUGUAAGAAUGGACAAACGUGCCAAUGAACAGAGUAUAACAAUAUGCCAUGUGCAUAUUCAUAUUCACUUUAUGUUGACAAAGGCGGCACCGCACAAGCACAGCAAUGGUAUGCUGGAACAUACAGGGUGUGUCUACAGAAGAAAAGGGAGCUAAGUUCUAUCUCACACUGUUCACAAAAAAUUAAUGCCAAUUGUAUUACGGGACUAUGAAAGGCAAAUCAAAAUUUCUUCUUAGAAUACAAUGUCAGAAAAUAUCUUGAUGACUUCAAAAUACUAAACAUUUUUAAUGGAGAUACACAAAGCACUAAUGAUGAGCAAAUUAAAACUAAAAAGUGGGGCACCAUGGAGCCCGGGUCGCGGUGACUCUAGGCCAAUUCUCCCAUCUCCCUCCCACCACACCUCCACCUCCAGGGAAACCGCGCACUUCCCCUCCAGUCCAUCUGCACAGAGCUGUGCUUCUCCGUCUCUUUACAUUGGUGAUCAGCCCUGAAAUAAAUCUGUGCGCGCCAAUAAACAAGGAAAGCCCAAACAAGGCGGGGACCAGUGAAUUCUUGUUUUCUCCAACUUCCAGAACCGGAACAGGUCAACCUUGGACUUGCAGCCCUGCUCGCCUGCACAGUGGGCGGUGGCCUUCACAGUCAGUGGGCGACAGCAUUCUGUUUGUCCCAGAGUCAGCUUCCAGGGUUUUCCUGGCCUCCUCAGGUCUGCGCUUCCCUGCACAAGAGAGAACAGCGAAAUUAGAAUUAAAGGCGUGCGACCUGACAUUUUAAAAUAGGCACGUGACAGCCACAUUGCACACCCCCUCAAGCCGGGGAGGCCACAGCUCUUCCCACUUGCAGAACUCGGUCCUCGGUCGUCCACCCUUGGGAUAUACUGAUACUAAACGAUCCUCCUGGCACAGGAGUCAGGGUUCCAGUUUUUGUGGAAGAGUUCUGAGGGGGAGGAACAAACCUGCCCUCCCACUGGAGCCUGCUUGUACAAAGGCCCUGUCCCCCGCACCCAAGCCUCUUGCUUCGGGCCUGGUGGCAUCGGUGCCACUUGACCAACCCUUGGAUAAUCCAUUGUGUCACUUCCCUGAGUAGCUUCGCUCUGUAGGUGGUGAUCUCCAGGGUGUCCUCGAAGCUGCCGUCCACCUGGAUCAAAGUGUUGACUCGGGGCUCUGUUUUGGGGAGGUGGACUCCACUGGGCCUGUGCGGGGGGAGGGCAUGCUCAGGUCCAGACAGCUGGAUCCCAGGCCCUGCGAGGCUGUGAGGAAAGAGCCAGCGUCACUGGCAGGAGGUCCAGGCAGCACCAGCUGUGGCAGGGACUCUUGCGAACAGGAGAAUACAGUCCACCAAAAAAGCAGCCGACUGAUAAGACUCCACUCAGAGAACGCCCAGCCGCGCACUGCGGUCCCCAAAGGCAGCUGCCGUCAAGGACUCAGCUCCGCUGACCGUCAAGCUCUUCUCAGUGUUGACAGCCACAGGUCUCUAUCUGAGGCCUUGGGCAGAGGUCUUCUUCAGGAGCCCCUGCUGAGGGGUCCUCACGGG